rnacentral:rRNA from 1 species
CAUGUCCUUUUGUUUAUGAUUUAAGGUCUAGUCUGCCCAAUGAUUUAAUUGAAUGGCCGCAGUAUUUUGACUGUGCAAAGGUAGCAUAAUCAUUAGUUUUUUAAUUGAAAGCUGGUAUGAAUGGCUGGAUGAGAAAAAGACUGUCUCAUUGUUAUUAAUUAGAAAUUUAUUUUUAAGUAAAAAAGCUUAAAUUUUAUAGAAAGACGAGAAGACCCUAUAGAGUUUAAUAAACUUAAUUUAAAUGAUUUUUGGUAUAUAUUGUUUUUUAUGUUUUUGUUUAUUUUGUUGGGGUGAUAUAAAAAUUUAAUUAACUUUUUAAUGUUGUUUACAUUGAUGAUUGAAUAUUUGAUCCUUUAAUAAAGAUUAAUAGAUAAAAUUACCUUAGGGAUAACAGCGUAAUUUUAAUAGAGAGUUCAUAUCGAUAUUAGAGUUUGCGACCUCGAUGUUGGAUUAAAGUUUAAUUCUGAUGUAGAAGUUAGAAUGUUUGAGUCUGUUCGACUUUUAAAGCU